CAUGUCGGUCCGGAGCCAGUGGGUUAUCAAUUUCUGAACCCCUCCCAUUGGCACCUAUUUGACCGUUAA
rnacentral:sRNA from 1 species